AGAGAUAGAAGGAUGUACAUGUCGCGAUACGAUGUGGUGUCGCGGUUGCAGUGGGAAUGCAUCUUGUCUCUGUAUAUCCGUGCUCCGAUUGCAGUCGUGGUUCUACUCGAUGUCGAGGAACCGUACCUUACAGUCGUGGAGUAAUCGAGUAAGGUGAUUCCCGUUGGUGGUAGUUAGCUCAAACGAAGAGAAACUGAGAUAGACGAAGAAAGAUAUAGAAAGAGCCACGAAUUUUCAGCUGUCACUAACGUGAAUCAACGAGAAUGAACGAGCUAUUUCUCACACACAAAUACAUACACAGAUAUACAUAAAGACCGAAGAGAGAAGAACGAGUAGAAGAUGAAGAGAAAGUUACGAGGAGGAGGAGGAGGAGCAGGAGGAGGAGGAGGAGGAAAACGUGACGAGGGACGAUGAAGGCUGACGUUGCAAUUUCCCCGCGAAACUGUCCGAGAAACGCUGAAAGGACUGCGGCCUCUUGGUUGCUCAAGUGUCGUGCCCGGCUGCUGCUACCUCUGAUGUUACUACACCUACAACCUAAUACUACUUUAUAAUACUACUCUGCAACACCCCUGGGAAAGAUCAUUGUUCGGUCACGUUCCCCUCUCGCUAACUUCUCGAGCAUCUUUCUUCACUAUUUAUAACAUCCUCUAUACCCUACAUCGGAGUGUUAAUAUAAUAGAAAAAAAAAAAUACAAAAAUACAAAAAGUGUAUCUAUAAAACUUCAAA
rnacentral:lncRNA from 1 species